rnacentral:sRNA from 1 species
AAAACUCCUCUGCUUCCAGCCGUCAGUGAGCGCCACCCUCUCCAGGAACAGAUGUCCUGCGUUCUAAAUGGAGAGUGCAGAGCCCACAGCAAAGAACUGUCCCCAGCAGCCCGGAUCCCUCUGACAUCAGCCCCCAGGAAUGUGCUGCAGACCCUCUAGCACGUUCAGGCCUCCCAGAGGAGCCCCUCCCCUCCCCUCCCCUCCUCCAUCCCAGUGUUUCACUGGGGACAGGCCUCUGAGCUGCAGACGGAGGCCCUCGGAGGGUGGUAGACAGCCCACCCGGCUCCAGGCCUGGAGACUGGAGGAGUGACUGGAGUGAGUGAGGCAGCCUUGGGUGGAGUGGAGUGGGAAGCCUGCCUGUGAAAGAGGCAGCUAGGCCAAUAGCUGGUCUGCAAGAAGAACACGGAGCUGGACUGAUUCAACCAAGAGUCCUACCCACCGGCACUCCCCUUGCCAAGAGUGAAGGCAGAUGCAGUGGGAUUCUGCCAGCUGCUGAGUACAUCUAUUUCCAUGAUGCUUUCCGGAAGUGGGGAAAUAGCACAGGAUGGGUUUGAGAUGGACGUAAGCUAAAAACCCAUAAGCCCCCACUUUGAUGUUCUGGGUCUCCUAGAAUUAGUGUCAGCUCAGAACCAGUGGCCAGUAGUCCAAAAGAUCUGAUUAUUUCCUUUUCUCCAAUGCAUGCUCAUCCUGGUGAAAGGUGUCUUUGGAGAACUGGGAGAAAGCAUACAGUAUAGAUUUCUGGCAGGCUACGAGGGUGCUUCCUUGAGAGUACCCAGCCUUUCCCUCAUUCAAGAGCUUCCAGUCUGAUAAAACUGGCUCAAGUACAGGAAUGGAUUGAGGGGGUCAUGACUCUACUCUGCUUUUAUGAUUUGGGAUAGACUUUUGUUUGCUUGACCUAGAAGUUUUCUGCUUAUACAGAUUAAGUACGAACUUAGUAGGCUUCCUGUCUAUUUCACUUCGAGGAACAUCAUGAUCAACCAGCCAACACCACAGGUCUGCAGCAGUCAGACUCUGCUGCUUUGACUCCACUGUCCAAUAGGGUCAGCACGUCCACCUUGCCUUUGGUAGUACUACAGCCACGGGGCCCCUGCCACCCUGGAGCCAAUUACUCCCGUCACAUUCAGGUUACUGGUUCAGUGGCUGCUGUUCCUGCUGUGAGGUCUGGCCUUCAGAGAAGAGUGAUCACAGCUCCUCAAGGAGGCUGGAGCUCCUUUCAUAUAUUUAUUUCUCACCAUCAAGGUGAAAGGCGUGUCUUCAGGAGCUUCCCAGUGUGGGUGAGGAGGUCUUAAAGGGAAGCCAAACAUGCCGCAGACCACGCGGGAAUUCUUGGCCGUCCAGUGCUUGUCACAGAUCUGCUUCCAGGUCUUGCCCUCCUUCACCUCCACGUAGCCCUCCGUCACUGGGGUGCGCUUGCGGUAGGUUGAGAGGAUGGCUCGAAUCCGAAUGUCCUCCACCUGGAUAUUCAGGUUCUGGGAAGAAAGGGCGUGGAAGGAGAGGGUUACCCUUCUGGCCUGGCCGCAGAGACACCAGGCAACCAGUACUUCUUUAGUGACUACGGGCUGGGCCUGCCUGUGCCCUCGGGCCCUGCAGUGAGCUCUGGGCACCCCGGAGGGGCACACGGCCCAAGCUGCAGUUAGAAAGCGCUAUGCAUGGGAGAUAGUGAGGCUGAAAGGACCCAACAGGGAGUGGGGCAACCCGGAACAGUCAGAAAAGACUCAAGAGACCCCAUGGGCUUCUCCUACAUCGGAACCUAAGAUCUUGGAGAGCAAAAGGCAGCAGCCUCCUCCUGCA